GAUGAAGAACGCAGCGAAAUGCGAUACGUAAUGUGAAUUGCAGAAUUCAGUGAAUCAUCGAAUCUUUGAACGCAUAUUGCGCUCUCUGGUAUUCCGGAGAGCAUGCUUGUUUGAGUAUCAGUAAACACCUCAACUUCCAUAUCUUUUUUGAAAUGGGAGUUGGACUUGAGUGAUCCCAACGCUUUUCCUCACCGAAAAGUGGCGGGUUACUUGAAAUGCAGGUGCAGCUGGACUUUUCUCUGAGCUAUAAGCAUAUCUAUUUAGUCUGCCUAAAAAACAGAUUAUUACCUUUGCUGCAGCUAACAUAAACGAGAUUAGUUCUUGUGCUGACUGAUGCAGGAUUCACAAAGACGGCUUCGGCCGACUUUGUAAACUCGAUCUCAAAUCAAGUAAGACUACCCGCUGAACUUAAGCAUAUCAAUAAGCGGAGGA
rnacentral:misc_RNA from 1 species